rnacentral:rRNA from 1 species
GAUGAACGCUAGCGGCAGGCUUAAUACAUGCAAGUCGUGGGGCAGCAGGGUUGUAGCAAUACAAUCGCUGGCGACCGGCAAACGGGUGCGUAACACGUACGCAACCUUCCCGUUACUGUGGCAUAGCCCAGGGAAACUUGGAUUAAUACCACAUAUUAUAUUGAGGGGGCAUCCCUUUGAUAUCAAAGCUUCGGCGGUAACGGAUGGGCGUGCGGUUGAUUAGGUAGUUGGCGGGGUAACGGCCCACCAAGCCUACGAUCAAUAGCUGAUGUGAGAGCAUGAUCAGCCACACGGGCACUGAGACACGGGCCCGACUCCUACGGGAGGCAGCAGUAAGGAAUAUUGGGCAAUGGACGAAAGUCUGACCCAGCCAUGCCGCGUGAAGGAUUAAGGUCCUCUGGAUUGUAAACUUCUUUUCUCUGGGGCGAAAACCAGCUAUUCUUAGCUAUUUGACAGUACCAGAGGAAUAAGCACCGGCUAACUCCGUGCCAGCAGCCGCGGUAA